GCCAGGGUAUGACACUGACGGCCUGUCAGCCACUCACACUGACACCUAAACGGUCGCGAGCGGGAAAUGUGUAUGAUACAGAUGGGAGUCACCUUCGUUUACACUGCUGUAGAACAGGGGACGGACAAAAUCCCAUAGGACAAAAUUUCUUUGGACAAAAUCCCACACCAAAAUGACCAACAUGGGACAAAAUCCCAUUUAAAUAGAACCCAGAACCCAGUGAGGGAGGAGAGACGAUCCAAGAGGCAGAUGAAAUUCC